AAUUCGAUGAUACGCGAAAACCUUACCUGGGCUUGAACUGUGCAUGACAGGUGUAGAGAUACACCCUCGCAAGGCAUGUACAGAGGUGCUGCAUGGUUGUCGUUCAGCUCGUGUCGUGAGAUGUUGGGUUAAGUCCCGCAACGAGCGCAACCCCUACCCUUUGUUGCUACCAGAUAAUGCUGGGCACUCUAAGGGAACUGCCGGUGAUAAACCGGAGGAAGUGGGGAUGACGUCAAAUCAUCACGGCCCUUAUGUCCAGGGCUACACACGUGCUACAAUGGCCGGUACAAAGCGUUGCAAACCUGCGAAGGGGAGCCAAUCGCAAAAAACCGGUCUCAGUUCAGAUUGCAGUCUGCAACUCGACUGCAUGAAGCUGGAAUCGCUAGUAAUCGUGGAUCAGAACGCCACGGUCGAAUACGUUCCCGGGCCUU
rnacentral:rRNA from 1 species